rnacentral:rRNA from 1 species
AUUGAACGCUGGCGGCAGGCCUAACACAUGCAAGUCGAGCGACCGACGGACGGGUGAGUAAUGUCCGUGAAACUGCCAGAUGUAGGGGGCCAACUACCGGACCCGGUAGCUAAUACCGCAUACCAUCAGCUGUGUUCAGAUGGGAUUAGCUAGUAGGUGGGGUAAUGGCGCACCUAGGCGACGAUCCCUAGCUGGUCUGUGAGGAUGACCAGCCACACUGGAAGUGAGACACGGUCCAUGCUCCUGCGGGAGGCAGCAGGGGGAAAUAUUAGACAAUGGGCGCAAGGCUGAUGCAGCGAUGCCGCGAGUAUGGGGAGGGCCCUCGGGAGGUAAAGUACUAUCAGCGGGGAGACGUUACCGGCAGAAGAAGCACCGGCUAACUCCGUGCCAGCCGCCGCGGUAAUAC